UCCUAGCGCUGUGGAGGAAGCGGAGGGCAGUGGAGAAGAAGCGGCUUUGACCGGCUUCAGCUGAACAAGGAGAGAAAAGGUGGUACAUUAAAGCAGAGAAGGCCUCCUCCAACACGCCAAGGACCUGCCUGCUCUGCUGGAGACUGAGGCUGGCGACGCUGCCCUGAGCCGGUGCAGUCGCGGCCGUGACCGCCGGGCUGCAAGCCUGCUCUAUGGCGGCCUCCAUGAUCCGUCAGGCGCGCUCCAGAAGAGCGCACAAGUUUUGCAGUGAUCACUUUAUUAUAAGUUUGUUUGAUAUACUUUGAAAGUUUAGUAUUUCCCAUUUAAUUAUUAUUUUGAUUGUUUUAUUUUGUCUUGUAAUGGAGUACUUAAAACACAUUUUUGCUCCAACUGUUAGGUAAAGCACUCACUCAAGUCUAAAUAAAAGAAAGCAAAUGUGAGCAAAACCUAAAAGAAAUAAGCUUUUACCAAAGGCAGCAAUAAAAUGAAGCUUUUAGCUCAUACACAAUGUUGACAUCUGUAGUUAUAUUUUGAUAAAGACGGAAAAAAACACGCACUCGUAUACAGCGCAUGCAACAACAACAACAACAGACAUGGCUGUGGACGUGAAGUUAAAUCAUGAAAUGAAACCUAACCCGAGCAAAAACAAAUAUUAAUCCAGGAGAAUCUUGAUACCGAUUUCCUUGACCCAGCCAAACACAAAAGUUGUAGACCUCCGUGCUUUUCCAAGUUUUCAUUUGUUUUCUGUAUGUAGAAUGAUGUCUGGCACACCAAUUCCACGUCUGGAAAUGCGACCAACAGAUAAUCCUUCAGAUCACUCGCCAAAUCUUUUUUUGAUAACGUAUAUGAAUCUGAUUUUUUGCUCGGAUCUGAUUUUACUGGGGAAGAUCUAGGCCCCUUCUGUACUCCGAUAGUUUGCUGCACUGUAGCCAUGUUGAUUUGGUGACCCACCACUUCACUUACUUCCGUUCAAAGGUCACUUGACUGAAUACAACCUAUAUUUCUUUCAAUUUGAAUUAAAUUAGAUUUUCAGUUUACAACUUUAAGUCAAAAAUAUAGAAUUGAUCUUUUAAACCAAGACCAGGGGCUUCUUCACAAUUGUAGCAACGAGCGAACGUCUCAGCGAGGAUUGAAAGUCAAGUAAGAUACCAUUCAAACUACCUGUCAGUGUGUCCUGCUGCUCUUGGCUCAGAUCGCUGCCAGGGGGUUCCUCCAAACCCAUCCUGACCUCCACGCACGCCCGAUUCACCAGGAGGCAGCAGAACUUUGGUGGUCCAGCCAGCUCCCAUCCGUACAAAUCAAGCAGACAUGCGCUGAGGACUAAAACUGGCCCGAUCUGUCUGGGUGUCAUCUUAGCCUGCAUCAUGGGUUGCAGUUCCCCCCACACUCGGCUCACAAAUUCCCUCAGCGUCUCCCUUUCGACUGUUACUCCUACCGGGGGGAGGAACUGGACCAACUGGGAGCACAUGCCCAGCCUGGUCUGUCCCGUGGCUGUGCAGAAGUCUUCGGACAUUGUCACUAGCAGACUCAACAGUUCAGAGGAGUGUUUGCUCCACGCUUUCUCUUUGGUUUUACCGGAGAGGAGGCAACCCAGCAAGGGAAUGCCCAUCUUCUGGCUGAAGGUCUGGUUCUGUUCCACGGCCUGGCAGAGAGCGGGAACGGCGCCCCGGCUCAACAGCUGGUCGGGACCUCUGGGUAAGGCGUGUACAGCUGUCAGCACCUGGUAGCAGUCGGAAGCCAUGGCUUCAUCAAGCUUUGCUGGAGGAUGAUUCUCAGGACCCUUCUCCCUCUGCUCACGGCUCGUUGGACCACGUGCGAGGAUUUCCAGCAGUAACGGGACUGUAGCGAGCAGCUGAGGCUGAGAGGCCAUCUCCGGAUCGGUGCUCAGGGCAGACAACAGAGCCGUACCCAAAGACAGGAGCUCAUGGACGGGCAAGCUGGGUUCCCCGCUGCCCUUCACUGCGGUCACCAGCAGCCGAGCGGGAAGGUUAAGACCCACCGCCUCAAAUAUGCGCCGCAAGGUGGGUUUGUCCAGUUGACAGGCUGGGCACAAACGUGUGAUC